rnacentral:sRNA from 1 species
GUCUCUACUAAAAAUACAAAAAUUAGCCGGGCGUGGUGGCAAACGCCUAUAAUCCCUAGCCACUUGGGAGGCUAAGGCAGGAGAAUCGCUUGAACCCGGGAGGAGGAGGUUGCAGUGAGCCGAGAUUGCGCCACUGCAGUCCAGCCUGGACGAGACAGUGAGACUCCGUCUCAAAAAAAAAAAAUUUAAGUGAAUUUAGAGGCAGGUGACACAAUUCAACCCCUAACUUAGACCCUAAUCAAAUCCUUCCACUGGUGUCUGUGGAGUUUGUUUCUUUUUCAUGCCUCCCCUGUUUUUAUCUUCUCUGUGUCUAUCUGUACUUCUCUAACCAGGAUCUUUACAGCCAUAAUGCCCAUGGUAGCAGCGGGACUGAUAAUAGAUGACCCCACACUGCAGCCUGUCCGACGACUUGUUUCCCUUGUAGGCACUGUGUGUGUUUUGGGUUUUGUUUGAGCUGUGCCCUUGGAAUGUCUGCUUCGGCUACUGCUGGGGCUGACCUGUCUCCCCCGGCCACUUAAGCUGCAUGGCCGCCACCUGUGUGCUCCAUUUGAAGUGGAUGUUGAGUGUGAUUUCAGCUGUGCCACUGGCUGCGCUCCGUCUACUCGAGCGAAGCCUCAGAAUUCUCGGCUCUGUCACCGAUAAUUCUUUUUGUCUCUUCUGUUUCUGUCUUAAAACCACCUUGCCCAUGAUCCAGUAAAGAAGGUCCUUUAAGUGACGGGUCAGUAAUCAACGCCCACUGCGGUCCCCGAGUGACACUAACCCUAUGUUUUUGAUGUUCACCCUGUAGCUUUCUAAACUGCUUUGUUUUCCAAGCCAUCUUCAAGUCAGCCAUUUGAUCUUGUUUAAAAAGAAAGGCAGAGGAGGGGACCAGUGUUUUAAUUCUGUCUGUGUCGCAAGUGCUAAGUGGCCUUCCUGUUUACCUGAGUCAGAGAGAGGUGAAGCGUAACUGUGGUGUGUUGCUGCUGUAUUUUUCGCCAGCUAAUUGCCUGGAUUACCCUAUAGAAAGAGCUCACAAAUAACCCGCUGUGAGAAUUGUGCCUUCAUUCACCAGCACACUUACCUGUCACAGAGAAAAGGCAUCUUAGUUGCUAGGGAGAGUUUCAUCAGAUAAACUUGGCUUGCCGUGGCUUUGCAAUGAAAGAUCAGUUUAUUCCUGGUAGGAAGUGAUUGUAGGAUCCAGUAACCACAGAAUAGUGAAAUCAUUUUCACCCAGAUGUGCUUAAAACUAAACUCUAGAGGCUGCAACACUAGCAACCAGCAAACAGAGGGAACCAAAAAUAGUUUAUCCGAAGCUUUGAUUUCGCAGUGGCUUUGUUCCUAUUCUUGCCUCCCAGGAAACAUAACAUAGCUAUUAUAUGAUAUUAUAUGAUAUCAGGUGGAUCAUUUGAGGUCAGGAGGUUGACACCAGCCUGACCAACAUGGUGAAACCCCGUUUCUACUAAAAAUACAAAAAAAUUAGCUGGGCACGGUGGCAUGCACCUGUAAUCCCAGCUGCUUGGGAGGCUGUGGCAGGAGAAUCGCUUGAACCUGGGAGGCAAUCGUUGCAGUGAACUGAGAUCAAGCCACUGCACUGCAGCCUGGACGACAGAGCGAGACUCUGUCUCAAAAAAAAAAAAAAAAAAAAAAGAGUAGAACUUGGUGACAACAGAAGGAAUCUUAAUAGAGCCUGGUAGUAUCAAAGGACAGUUUUAGGAAGAGCUUUUGGGAAUUCCUCAAGGUAGGCCAAUUUCAGGUUCACUGACCAGGGUCCUAGUUUGUUUACAUGACCUCAAAGCAGACCUUGUUUUAAAAGGACUACGUUAGCUGGCCACAGUGGCUCACACCUGUAAUCCCAGCACUUUGGGAGGCCAAGGCAGGUGGAUCACCUGAGGUCAGGAGUUUGAGACCACCUUGGCCAGCAUGGUGAAACCCCAUCUCUACUAAAAAUACAAAAACUUAGCCGGGUGUGGUGGCGGGUGCCUGUAAUCCCAGCUACUCAGGAUGCUGAGGCAGGAGAAUCGCUUGAACCAGGGAGGCAGAGGUUGCAGUGAGCCGAGAUCGUACCAUUGCACUCCAGCCUGGGCAACAAGAGCGAAACCCCAUCUCAAAAAAUAAAUAAAUAAAAAUAAAUGGACUACCUUGCAGGCUUUUUGCUUGUGACUUUUUCUUUUGUUUUUUUUUUUCUUUCUUUUUUCUAUGGUAACAAACUCAAGUAUGCUUGUGACUUCUGCCUUUAUCUUUCAGGCAUCUGAAAAUUCCUGAUGACUCUCUCUGAUCGAUAUGCAGCAGUCACAGCUGUUUUAAAAAGACCUCUGUCUACCUCAGUUAAACUCUGAGGCCAGACUAACUGUGGCUCUGUAGCUGGUUACAGUGAUACAGUCUAAAGGCUUUCACCAUUAAAUCUAUUUUUGAAAGUGCAAAUUGAUGUUUCCCAAAUUUUAUAUCAGAGAACCAUGAGUAUCAUGUUUUACUUAUAUAUUUUAUUUUAUUUUAUUUUAUUUUUUUAGACAGAGUCUCGUUCUCUUGCCCAGGCUGGAGUGCAGUAGCGUGAUCUCGGCCAGGCUGGUCUCAAACUCCUGACCUCAAGUGAUCUGCCUGCCUCGACCUCCCAAAGUGCUGGGGUUAUUACAGGCGUGAACCACCACACCCAGCCCAUAAUAUAUUUUUUAUUGUUCAUUUUUCUUAAGUACUUCCUUUAGCCUCAUCCUAAGCAGUAACGUCCAUGAAAUCUGGGCCACAGUUUCCUGACUGACAUUAAACAAAUACAGAACUAUUUAAAUUAGAAAUAUUCAUCUGUUUACAACAGAAUCCUCUUAUAUUCCACACGGUUUUCAUUAGGGUAAUUAAAGAAACCUCUGCAUCAUUAGGGUAAUUAAAGAAACCCAUGAUUUGUUUUGAUUCCCACUGGUAACGGGAUAAAUCCUCCAUAGAGGCUAACGUGGAAGACACCUCACACAUCACAUCAACAUGAAUGCCUUGCCCAUACCGCGUGACCUCCAAGGUACCGUGUCCAAAUGACACGCAGAAUACCCCGCUGCUUUCUUGGAAUAACUUUGACCUGCACCCCCAACUUUGUCUUUCACACCUUGAAUUGAUUUGCUCCCUUCUGAGUUUGCUGCUGUAUGUCUCCGGCACUGCAAAAAAUGUGACGUGCACAGCAAAGGGUCAGCUCUCAUUUCUGUGUUUGCUUUCCCUUCCAAAGGUUUAGCUUCUUCUCCCGAGAUAAGAAGCGCGUGGCCAACACGCAGAGAAACGUGCACAUCCAGGAGUCCUUUGGACAGUGGGCAAACACCCACCGCGAUGACGGUUACACAGAGCAAGGACAAGAAGCCCUGCAGCACCUGUGACCUUGGCCCACCUCCACCCUCCAACCUGGACUGCCCGCCACCAGCGUCUGCAACCGAACUGCAGCCCAGGGGUCGUUGCUGCCUCAAGCCUCUCGGUGCAGACACACCCUGAAAACUGACCCCUCAAACAGACUGUCUGAUUUGAGGAUGGACAUUGAAAAACUGACGCCAAACUCUAAAGAAAUGUUUAUUUAUACCCAGGGCUAUCACUGUUUCUAAUAGAUGACUCUGAUCCCGUAGGAUAUAUAUUUAAUAAUCCCACGAACGGAGGCCAGACUUCUGCGUUAACUUCAGUAACACAAGCUUCUUUAAGCCAAAUACAUCACUUGCCACUAUCA